rnacentral:lncRNA from 1 species
CAAUAGACUAGCAAAAGGUCAUGGAAAGAAAAAAAAAAAAGUUAGUACCUCAAAGAUCUGUUCUCUUUUUUGUUUUCUUUUUCUAUUUCCAUCUUUGUUCUUUUCCUUAGAUCCAGUUGGAUCCACUAGCUGAUGAUGGAUAGAAUGGCAUUGUGUGCUCAACAUCUGUACAGAAAUAAAAUGAAUCAAGAAAUUCUUUUCUUCAGGAGAAAAAAAAAAAAAAAAACAGUUUGUUUGACUUUGGCCAACUGGGAAUCACAAAGUGGCUUAUGGUAG